rnacentral:lncRNA from 1 species
GAGUUAUUCUGAUUGAGCCUUAUUUUCUAUCUCUGUAAGCUUGAAAGUGCAUUUCUCUCCUGCAUACAGUAGACCCCCCAUAUUGCAGGGGCUAUGUUUGAAAGCUCCCAGUGGGGUCACUUCAGGUGUUCCAUUUAUAGAAUUUGUGUUUACUCUUUUGCCAUAUUAGAGAUCCUGGUUUCCCGGGAGGGAAUACAUUUAUUUCAAGACCAGAUUGGUGUGGUGUAAUCAAAAUUGUAUAGGAGUUGGAGUUGGAAAUCUCUGCACUGUGUCCUAAUUGUGACCUUAUGCCUGCCAUUAUGAUCUGAUGCCUCCUUGCUGAGAGAAUUUGCCCAAGUAACACUUCAUCUUUCAAGUGGACACAGUGAUCGUGCCUUUCAUUUUUAUUGCUUUGCCUGUAAACUUAAUCAUAUUUGUUAACUUCUAUGUGCCUCAGUCUCAACAUCUGGGUGUUCGUGGAAACAAAAACUGCAUUAGAGGAGUUUUUCAUUAAUUAUUGGAUCUCAUUAUAUUAGCAUAUGUGAUACAUAGUGUUUUCAUAAUUGAAUCUACAAUACAGAGUAUUUAGGCAUUUUAAUAUAAGUAUGGCUUUCACAUUUGCAUGUGUUCUUCAGGGAAACAAAAGCACAUCCAUUAUUUAGACCUAUUCUUCAUAUUUCAUUAAGUAGAAUUGAACAUGCUUAUAAUUCUGGAGUCGUAUUUUAUUUUUUAGAACUUAAUUUCCAGAAAGGGACGAUUUAUAGAUCUAAAUAAGAAAGGAUAUUUCUGAUGGACGGCCACAAUCAUGCUUGGAAAAACUGGGAUGUGAGUGAAAAGUAAAGUAGAAAUCACUGGCCCUGAUCUAAAACCCAGUCUCAUUAGGUUAAGAAAAUAUAUCCAUUUUGAAAGCUGAAAUUACCUUCUUUCUACAACUUUUUCAAGUUUUGGAGAAAUAAGUAAGUUUCAUCAUACGUUUUCUUACUCAUGCAGAAUGUAACUAAGACUGGUUUUUUGGCGAGGGGAGGGGGGGUGUUGUUGUUGUUUUACGUAGUAGCCCACCUAAAUUCCAUUUCAUACUUUUGCCAGAUAAUUCUCAGCUCAAGCCAGGCUUGGACUGGAGGGAUCUCUUCAGCUUUGCACUCCAGGGAGAUAAAAGAGCAUAAUUUUGAAUGCACAGCAGUUCAUCUCAAGAUCUAUUCAACUGUACGAAAACCAUAUAACCUCAGAUAUAUUCCCCAAUCUUCUACACCCUUAUCUGUGCCCUUUUAUGGACCACAUCAAUGGGCUGCCUUGCCCUUUGGCUUCUGGUAGGAUUUAGCCAAUAAAAGGUAUGAAGAGGAAAUUAGAGGAGAAAGG